UCAGUUUAAUUUCAAUCAGCUCCACCCGAAAAAGGGGAAAAGGAAACUGAAAGGCUUGCUUUACUGACAAAGGACAGGACGUUUACGGACAGCCUCACAUCACCACAGACGAACAAACUAAAGGAGAUUUGUAAGUCAACAUUUUGUCUUGACUGAUACAAAAUAGAGUAAUGGCAGAGAGAGCUCUUCUGGAAAGUUACCUGAGCUGCCAUGUUUGUUCAGAGACUUUCAUAGAUCCUGUGUCUCUGAGCUGCAACCACAGCUUCUGUUCAAGCUGCCUGGAGGAAUUCUGGGAACAAACUGGAAACAAGAACUGUCCCAUCUGUAAACGAAGAUCAUCAAAGGAGGAUCCGUCCAUGAACUUCUCCCUCAAAGAACUCGCUGAUUUGUUUGGUGUGAAGACCGACUGACAGUCAUCCAGAUGUAGCUAAAGAAAGAAGCAGCUGAUGGAGGAAGGCAGAGGGUACUGGCAGCAGAGGAGGUGGCAUUCUGGGAGGAUGGCAGCUAUGAGGCGGUGUCAGGAUGGACCCCAAGUUCCUCCAACCAGGAGCUCAGUGACAUAAGGACUACAAGACAGGAAGAGACGUCAGGUCUAUGCUACAGGAGAGAUGUUGGACCUGUCCUGAACACAGCAUAAUGUUUGAUCAUGUUUGGACAAAAAAACACUGCCAGAUGGUCCAGAAAUGGACAAGCAUUUAUAUCUUAUUUAGUGUGCAAACAGUAA